CGCCGCCCGGGCGGAGUUUCCACCGGCGGCGGUGCUGUCUGUGGCCUCCGCCGUAGGCCUGGGCGCGGAUGUGGAGGCGAGAGGAGAGGGAGGGGAGAGCUUUCUGAAGCCGAAGGCUCGGCGCUCCGGCGCCCGGGGCUGGGGGAGGCUGCGGGGCGGCCGGCCGGGCCCCAGGAGCUGCUCGGUGGUCCCACUCAACUCCCUGGAAGCCGCCCGACUGCUCUACUGAAAAAGCAAGGGAGAGGGGGCCGAAAAGCCCACUGGAGGGCGCGGGAGGGAGGGCUCUGAGGUCAGCCCGGGGCCCAGGAGGCUGGUCACACGUCUGCUCUCCGGGACCCCCAGAGGCUGAUCUUAACGUCGAAUUCACCCUGCCCGCCUGGGUAACAGCGGUCGUGGAGCGUGCAGAUACAGGAGAAACAAGCGCAAAAUUAGCAUCCUUCUACAAAAACUCAGGAAUAGAAGAGUGCUGUUCCACCCAGGAUGGAACUGUGUCCUUACUGUAAGAAGCCAUUUAAACGAUUGAAAUCCCACUUGCCGCACUGUAAGAUGCUGGGAGCAACUAUGCCUGCUGAUCAAGAAAUUCAUCAGUGUGAGCCCGCUACACUCGCACGUGGUAAAAAAAUCAAAGCGCCAAUCAGGGACUCAAUUAAAGCAAAA